rnacentral:rRNA from 1 species
GAUGAACGCUGGCGGCGUGCCUAAUACAUGCAAGUCGAGCGAACGGACGAGAAGCUUGCUUCUCUGAUGUUAGCGGCGGACGGGUGAGUAACACGUGGAUAACCUACCUAUAAGACUGGGAUAACUUCGGGAAACCGGAGCUAAUACCGGAUAAUAUUUUGAACCGCAUGGUUCAAAAGUGAAAGACGGUCUUUCUGUCACUUAUAGAUGGAUCCGCGCUGCAUUAGCUAGUUGGUAAGGUAACGGCUUACCAAGGCAACGAUGCAUAGCCGACCUGAGAGGGUGAUCGGCCACACUGGAACUGAGACACGGUCCAGACUCCUACGGGAGGCAGCAGUAGGGAAUCUACCGCAAUGGGCGAAAGCCUGACGGAGCAACGCCGCGUGAGUGAUGAAGGUCUUCGGAUCGUAAAACUCUGUUAUUAGGGAAGAACAUAUGUGUAAGUAACUGUGCACAUCUUGACGGUACCUAAUCAGAAAGCCACGGCUAACUACGUG